rnacentral:lncRNA from 1 species
ACCGCUGCCCCGGGAGACCCCCGGCGGCCCGGCCCUGCGGGGACCGGGCGGGAUGGGGACCGGGGCAGUGGACCCUCGGAGUUGGGAUGGGGCGGGGGGAACGCGGGCGUGGAGCCCUCCGGGGACAGGGUAAGGUUGGGUAACCGUGGGCGGGGGCUCCUCCAGGGGCGGGGGUGGGGUAACGGCGGGCGGGGGGCACUCAAGCGACAGGGCAGGGGCGGGAAGGCCGCGGGCGGGGGCGGUCCCUCCGGGGACGGGGCGGGUGGGGGCACCGCGGGCGAGAUCGCUUCCUGCAGAGGAGGCAACAGGCCCCGCUAGCAGGUCAGGGUCCCGGGCAGGCGCAGGUGCCCCCCGGCCUCUCAAGCAGGGACUGCGGCGAGCUCAGACGCGGCUGACGGGCAGAGACUCGCGCUUGGGCUCAGUGCGUGUGAAGUGGGCCUCGGGCUGCGGAGGAGGGCAGCACCCCGUGGCUCCUCGCGCUGCUGCGAGCAGGGCCGCCUGGCAGGGGCGGGGGCCGGUGGGCGGGAGUGUCGGGGUAAGGCCGCGGACUCCUCCCAUGCCGCUGAGCAGUGGACAGCGGGGACUGGAGACCUCCAGGCCUGCACCAGCACAGCUGAAGGGGAGAGAGACCCAACCUCAUCCACUGGGCCUCCCCUCAACCAGGGCCACAACCUCAAGGGGCCAUGCCACCUCCAACACCUAUUUCCCACCUUCUACUCUCUCCACACCCUGGGACACCACCCGCCUCUCUCAGCUGACGUUUUCCUUCUUGUUUUGUGUGCAUGGUGCUUGUGUGAGAAAGUGGACACACAGUAAGUGCGGCUUCCAGAUGCGUCCGCCACCUGCCCUCCGUGCCACGCGCUUCCCCCUACCUAGGGGAGCCUCCACCAGACAGGGAACCCACGCCUUGCCACCCUUCUCUCUCCCUCCCACUUCACCUGUCCGCAUCAUUUCUGGAGCCCUUUCUUUCUGGCACGAGAUGCUCCAGGGCCCUGUUGUAUUCUCCCUGCCCCAGCCUGAACCCAGCUAUUUCUGCUGCAGCCUGGUUCAUUGUGGGAGAAUGUCAUGCAGAGCCCGGGAUCUGGCUCCGGAUGUGCUCAUUGCUACUGGGGUGUCAUUGCAGCUGGCGGAGCAAGGGAACACAUCUAUGUACAUGCCCACACGCAUAUGUAUACACACAGUUUCAUGG